CCUACGGGAGACAGCAGUGGGGAAUCUUCCACAAUGGGCGCAAGCCUGCUGCAGCGACGCCGCGUGAGUGAAGAAGGAUUUCGGUAUGUACAGCUCUAUCAGCAGGGAAGAAGCAAGAUGGUAGCUGACUAAGAAGCCUUGGCUAAAUACGUGCCAACAGGCGCGGUAAUAUGCAUGGGGCAAGCGUUAUCCGGACUUACUUGGUGCAAAGUGAUCGUAGGCGGUAUGGUAAGUCUGAAGUGAAAGCCUGGGGCUUAAAUCUUGGAGUGCUAUGGAAACUGUGAGACUUGAGUGCUGGAGAGGGCAGUGGAAUUCCAAGUGUAGCGGUGGAAUGCGUAGAUAUUAGG
rnacentral:rRNA from 1 species